GUACAGCAGUUUUGGUGCCUCUAUUUCACAUCUGCGGGGCACAACCCCCAGCGUUUCUGUGAGAGGUCCCAGGGUUCAGUAACGUCGCAUCAAACAGGAGAGCAGGAGUCGUUCGUUUGUUUGACUUACACUUAACAGAACUCUUCACUACCACCUGAAUCACUGUUAAAUAUCUUUGCUUUUCAGGAAACGUUCAGUGCACCGACUGGAACGGAGCCAGCUAGGAAGGGACUUCAGCAGGAAGGGCUGCACAGCUUCCCAGCCAUCACAGGAUCAGAGCAGCCGUGGACCUGAGGAGGUGAUUAAGAAUCAAGUGCCCGUGACAAAUAGCCCUUCAGAGGAAGUUAGCUUUUGUGGGAGCAACUCGAGCUGACCCUGAGCUGAAUGAGAAACUCAUCAUCGCAUGCUCUGAGCCAUCAGGAAGUGAACCUCAAAUUGGGAUCUGAGUGUCUUGGUUGGUACAAGGACCUGUGAAAAACUGUAUCUUGAAGAUGCAGAAAGGUCAGACUAUGGGUUUCCACUGCAGGACUAGCAACUAACUGGCAUUUGUGUGCUGGUGGUCCCUGCCCUGUGGACAUACAGUUAAAAAGCUCCAGAGGAGUUGUUGUUCCUUGUGCAAAGAGAAGACCUUUCCUUUGGCUCAGAGCUGGCAUCAUUGCAUCAGUUGAGUGGUUACUUGGAUUGGAAGAUGGUAAAAGCAAUUGCUGCUGGGCUUUUUUUGUACAGCAGAAAGAGGUCGCAAUCUUCCCUGUGGACUGUGGUGGUUAUUCCCCCAAACUUAUGCCUUUUGCCAGCUUGGUGAUAGAACUUCAGGGUUUCAGUGGAGCAGGUGUCAAAGCACACAGCCAAGGAAUGGAGCUGAAGGCAUAAUUCUUAGUCUGAGACGUUAACUAUGGGCACAGUUGUAAUCUGAGAAAAUCAUGAAUGUCACCAAUGCAUUCUGGUAAAGUGAUAGCUAUAAAAUGAAAGAUUUAAAGGAAGCAAUCAUAAUGGUUAACAGCAGUAUGAAAAAGCUUAAACAUGUUCAUAAAUUUCAAUAACUGCUGAGCAAUAUACUGGAUUCAUCUAGGAGAGAUUUAAUUUGAAAAAUGCUAAAUAGGAGGAACAGACUGGAAACAGACAUUCCUCCUGAAGAUGAAGCCUUUUGGUGAGAAAUUUACAUUGCACUUCAGCUGAAGCGAUACUAAAUGUGAGUACAAUGUGUUAGAAAAGGAAUUAUAAAAUAAAUUGUGGAAGGAGGUUUUUAAAUUUGCACGUUAAGGAAAAAAAGCUUUAUUUUGUAUUCUCACUUCAGAUGAUGAUCGUGUCUUGAUGUAUAAGUGCCCAUGCAUGCUGAAAUAAAUGAAAAUAACAAAAAAAAAAUGGUAUUAACUACAUAGAUUUUUAAUAGAAAAAGAAAAUGACUGAAGUCUUAUCACAGGGAAGUAUAAACAUAUAUGCUUGUGAGCAAGUAUCCAGAACAUACGCAUCGAUUUCAACAAUGCAUAAUAUAUAGAAUACAAAUGCUUUAGAUGAAUUUCAAAUUUGCUGUGUUUAAAAUUAAUUGUAUUCUGAGACGGAGCCUUUCAUUGCAGAUAGUUUUAGCAAGAUGCAUCAGUGCACUAAGAUUUUUUGAAAUGGUGAAUACCUUCUUUGUGUUGCUAAUUGCAGCUGUGCAGUCUGCAAAUGAAGGAUAUCCAGCAUCUUAUUUCC
ensembl:lncRNA